UUUGACCUCAAAUCAGGUAGGACUACCCGCUGAACUUAAGCAUAUCAAUAAGCGGAGGAAAAGAAACUAACAAGGAUUCCCCUAGUAACGGCGAGUGAAGAGGGAAAAGCUCAAAUUUGAAAUCUGGCAGUCUACGGCUGUCCGAGUUGUAAUCUAGAGAAGUGUUUUCCGUGCUGGACCGUGUACAAGUCCUUUGGAACAAGGCGUCAUAGAGGGUGAGAAUCCCGUCUACGACACGGACUACCAGUGCUCUGUGAUACACUCUCAACGAGUCGAGUUGUUUGGGAAUGCAGCUCAAAAUGGGUGGUAAAUUCCAUCUAAAGCUAAAUACAGGCGAAAGACCGAUAGCGAACAAGUACCGUGAGGGAAAGAUGAAAAGCACUUUGGAAAGAGAGUUAAACAGUACGUGAAAUUGUUGAAAGGGAAACGCUUGAAGUCAGUCGCGUCUUCAGAAAUUCAGCCUGGCUUUUGCCUGGUGUACUUUUCUGUUGGACGGGCCAGCAUCAGUUUUGGCCGCCAGAAAAAGGUGGGAGGAAGGUGGCACCUCCGGGUGUGUUAUAGCCUCUCAUCGUAUGUGGCGGCUGGGACUGAGGACCGCAGCACGCCUUUAAUGGCCGGGGUUCGCCCACGUAACGUGCUUAGGAUGCUGGCGUAAUGGCUUUAAACGACCCGUCUUGAAACACGGACCAAGGAGUCUAACAUGCCUGCGAGUAUUUGGGUGGUAAACCCAUAUGCGGAAUGAAAGUGAACAGUUGGGACUUCUGUCAUGGAAGGCACCGACGCCCGGACCAGACCUAUUGUGACGGAUCCGAGGUAGAGCAUGUAUGUUGGGACCCGAAAGAUGGUGAACUAUGCCUGAGUAGGGUGAAGCCAGAGGAAACUCUGGUGGAGGCUCGUAGCGAUUCUGACGUGCAAAUCGAUCGUCGAACUUGGGUAUAGGGGCGAAAGACUAAUCGAAC
rnacentral:rRNA from 1 species